GGGGGUAUAGCUCAGCUGGGAGAGCGCUUGAAUGGCAUUCAAGAGGCCAGCGGUUCGAUCCCGCUUAUCUCCA
rfam:Sporomusa sp. An4 isolate Sporomusa ovata strain An4 genome assembly, contig: SPAN4DRAFT_scaffold-4